rnacentral:rRNA from 1 species
CACAGAGUUAGCCGGGGCUUAUUCGGGAGGUACCGUCAUUAUCUUCUCUCCCAAAAGCAGUUUACAACCCGAAGGCCGUCAUCCUGCACGCGGCGUUGCUCCCUCAGGCUUUCGCCCAAUAGGGAAAAUUCCUUGCUGCUGCCUCCCGUAGGAGUCUGGGCCGUGUCUCAGUCCCAGUCUGGCUGAUCGUCCUCACAGACCAGCUACCCGUCAUUGGCUUGGUAGGCCAUUACCCCACCAACUACCUGAUAGGCCGCAGGCCCCUCCCAGAGCGCAUUGCUGCUUUCCUCGCCGAAGCGAUCGUAUGCGGAAUUAGCAUAUCUUUCGAUGUGUUAUCCCCCAUCCAGGGCAAGUACCCACGUGUUACUCAGCCGUGCGCCACUCAGUGUCCGAAGACACUCCGUUCGACUUGCAUGCAUUAGGCACGCCGCCAGCGUUCGUCCUGAGCCAGGACUCAAACUC